rnacentral:rRNA from 1 species
UACAGGGGGUGCAAACGUUGCUCGGAAUCAUUGGGCGUAAAGCGCACGUAGGCGGUCUGUUAUGUCGGAUGUGAAAGCCCUUGGCUUAACUGAGGAAGUGCAUCCGAAACUGGCAGGCUAGAGUACUAAAGAGGGUCGCGGAAUUCCCGGUGUAGAGGUGAAAUUCGUAGAUAUCGGGAGGAACACCGGUGGCGAAGGCGGCGACCUGGGUAGAUACUGACGCUGAGGUGCGAAAGCGUGGGGAGCAAACGGG